UAUUCAUGAGAAUUUCAUUUAUUUAUUUCCUCAUCAAAAUCAUCAACCUGCAUCUCGAUCCCUCGCCUACAUGUAUCUUCUAACAGAUAAUUCCAGAACAGUACAGUAAUUCAAACUGUUCUAAAAAGAAUAAACUCUUCCAUCAGCACUGGAUUUGUACCUAAAUCCUUCAAACUGCAGUUAUCAAACACUUAAUUAAGAAACCUUACCUUGUCAGCUGUCCAACUACAGUCCAAUAUCAAACCUUUGCUUUAUCUCCAAGAUUCUAGCACACCAGUUCUGCUAACAUCUACUUAGGAAUAACAUUUAUGAAAUGUAUCAGUCAGGAUUUCGGCCUCAUCAUAGUGUAGCAGUAUGGUCUGACGUCAUCUAGUGAGCUGAGGGCAUGUUCUGAUUAUGCUCAAUUAACUGCCUAUAAAAUCGUUUCGGUUCGUGUUGUGUGUGCGUUUGCUCUUUGUCCGCGAGAGAGCCGCGGUACUUCCGGGUUUAUGUGCGGAUAGUGGCAAGGGUGGACUGAGGAGCUUUGUGGGGAAGCUGCUAAUCGUUGUUCAUGAAGAGGUGCUUAUGAAACAUCUGCAUCUAUGCCUCGUGAGUCGUCGACAGGAGUGGGGCGGCCAGGGACAGCAGAUUAGCAUCUUGUGGUGGUGGGUUCCUUACCUGAUUGCAGUGCAGUGUUCACAGUGAUGUGCCGUGCUGUGGUGUGCUGUGGUGCGUGUGUGCACGUGCGAGUGCUGUGUUCUCUCUGCUUAGGAUGUCCAGCCUUCUCCCACCCUGAAGUGUUAUGUUUGUCUUUUUCUUCUUUUACUAUUUGAUGUAUUAAAUAAAUUUGAAUUCAUUGUAAAUAAAGUUGUUCUUAUUUACUCAA